rnacentral:rRNA from 1 species
AGGUAGCGAAAUUCCUUGUCGGGUAAGUUCCGACCCGCACGAAUGGUGUAACGAUUUGGGUACUGUCUCAACAAGGGACCCGGCGAAAUUGUAGUAUGUGUGAAGAUGCACAUUACCCGCGAUAGGACGGAAAGACCCCGUAGAGCUUUACUGUAGUUUAACAUUGGAUUCCGGUAACAUAUGCACAGGAUAGGUGGGAGGCGGAGAAGCAGUGAUUUCGGUUGCUGCAGAGCCGACGUUGGGAUACCACUCUUGUGUUACUGGGGUUCUAACCUGUGGCCGUGAUCCGGCACAGGAACAGUGUUAGAUGGGCAGUUUGACUGGGGCGGUCGCCUCCAAAAGAGUAACGGAGGCGUCCAAAGGUUCCCUCAGAAUGGUUGGAAACCAUUCGAAGAGUACAAAGGCAGAAGGGAGCCUGACUGCGAGACCGACAGGUCGAGCAGGGACGAAAGUCGGGCUUAGUGAUCCGGCGGUAUAGAGUGGAAUUGCCGUCGCUCAACGGAUAAAAGCUACCUCGGGGAUAACAGGCUUAUCUCCCCCAAGAGUCCACAUCGACGGGGAGGUUUGGCACCUCGAUGUCGGCUCGUCGCAUCCUGGGGCUGAAGCAGGUCCCAAGGGUUUGGCUGUUCGCCAAUUAAAGCGGCACGCGAGCUGGGUUCAGAACGUCGUGAGACAGUUCGGUCCCUAUCCAUCGUGGGCGCAGGAGAUUUGAGAAGAGCUGUCCUCAGUACGAGAGGACCGGGAUGGACGCACCAAGGGUGUAUCAGUUGUCACGCCAGUGGCACAGCUGGGUAGCCAAGUGCGGAUCGGAUAAACGCUGAAGGCAUCUAAGCGUGAAGCCGACUUCAAGAUAAGAUCUCCCAUCCGCAAGGAGUAAGGCCCCAUGUAGACCACAUGGUUGAUAGGUCGCAGGUGGAAGUGCAGUAAUGUACGCAGCUGAGCGAUACUAAUAGGCCGAGGGCUUGAUCAA